GCAAUGAAAGCAGAAAUAAUAUGCGCCGGUCUUGUAAGCCGGAAGGUGAAGGUUAAACUUCUCAUUGCA
rnacentral:tRNA from 1 species